rnacentral:snRNA from 1 species
AGAAGUACUGUCCAGGGGAGAUACCAUGAUCACGAAGGUGGUUUUCCCAGGUUGAGGCUUUCCAUUGCACUCUGGAUGUGCUGACCCCUGCGAUUUCUCCAAGUGAGGGAAACUCGACUGCAUAAUUUGUUGUAGUGGGGGACUGCAUUCGCUCUCUCCCCUU